UAGGAUUUGAUUAGGAUUUAUUUAGGAUUUAAUUAGGAUUUGGUUAGGAUUUGAUUAGAUUUUGGUUAAGAUUUGAUUAGAAUUUGGUUAGAAUUUUAUUAGGAUUUGAUUAGGAUUUGUUUAAGGUUUGAAUCGAGUUUAUUUAAGAUUUAGUGUUUGAUUAAGGUUUAGUUUAGGAUUUAGGAUUUGAUUAAGAUUUAAUUUAGAAUUAGAGGUUGAUUAGGAUUUGAUUUAGAAUUUAGGAUUUUCUUAGGUUUUGGUUUAGAAUUUAGGAUUUAGUUAAAAUUUAGUUUAAGGUUUAGGAUUUGGCCUAAAGUUUGAAUGAAGUCCAAUAGGAUUUUAACUAGGAUUAAAGUAAGAUUGGAUUGAGAUUUAUUUGAGAUAUAUUUGUAAUGAUUCUAAUAUUUUUUUAAGAUUUCUUAUUGUUUCUUUGUAAUUCCUUUAAGGCUUCUUUGAAUUUGAUUAAAGCUUGCUUAGCAUUGUUACUAUUUUAUU
rnacentral:lncRNA from 1 species